CAUAAAUGAUGUCACAAUAAACGGAAUGUGAGAGAAACCUCAGAAAUGAAAUUUGUAAGGAUAGAGACGGCGGGAGGAAGAGAAAGAUCAUGCCAGGGCUCCCGAGUGCUAAUGAAUUAAUGGAGAAGCCAAGUUAAUGAGUGCCGAGGAGGAGCUGUUGUCAGAGGUUUCGAUGUCCACACUAAGAGGGGAGGGUCAAUAUCUGAUGCAUCAUCAAGCUUCAGAGGAUAAGCUGACGAAAUUCAGUA
rnacentral:lncRNA from 1 species